UACAGAGGUGGCAAGCGUUGUUCGGAAUUACUGGGCGUAAAGGGCGCGCAGGCGGUCGUUCAAGUCGAGUGUGAAAGCCCCCGGCUCAACUGGGGAGGGUCACUCGAUACUGAUCGACUCGAAGGCAGGAGAGGGAAGUGGAAUUCCCGGUGUAGUGGUGAAAUGCGUAGAUAUCGGGAGGAACACCAGUGGCGAAGGCGACUUCCUGGCCUGUUCUUGACGCUGAGGCGCGAAAGCUAGGGGAGCAAACGGG
rnacentral:rRNA from 1 species